rnacentral:ncRNA from 1 species
UAACCAUCCUAAGGUAGCGAAAUUCCUUGUCGGGUAAGUUCCGACCUGCACGAAUGGCGUAACGACUUCUCGACUGUCUCAACCAUAGGCCCGGUGAAAUUGCACUACGAGUAAAGAUGCUCGUUUCGCGCAGCAGGACGGAAAGACCCCGGGACCUUUACUACAGUUUGAUAUUGGUGUUCGGUUCGGCUUGUGUAGGAUAGCUGGGAGACUGUGAAGCGCUAACGCCAGUUAGUGUGGAGUCGUCGUUGAAAUCCAGUCUGGUCGUGCUGGACUGUCUAACCUGGGUCCGUGAUCCGGAUCAGGGACAGUGUCUGAUGGGUAGUUUAACUGGGGCGUUGCCUCCUAAAGAGUAACGGAGGCGCCCAAAGGUUCCCUCAGCCU